rnacentral:rRNA from 1 species
GAUGAACGCUGGCGGCGUGCAUAACACAUUCAAGUCGAACGGUGACGAGGACUUCGGGUCCUCUGAUCAGUGGCGGACGGGUGAGUAACGCGUGAGCAACCUACCUAUCAGAGGGGGAUAACACAGGGAAACUUGUGCUAAUACCGCAUAAGCCUACAAAACCGCAUGGUUCUGCAGGAAAAACUCCGGUGGUACAGGAUGGGCCCGCGUCUGAUUAGCUAGUUGGUGAUGUAACGGACCACCAAGGCGACGAUCAGUAGCCGGCUUGAGAGAGUGAACGGCCACAUUGGGACUGAGACACGGCCCAGACUCCUACGGGAGACAGCAGUUAGGAAUAUUCGUCAAUGGGGGAAACCCUGAACGAGCAAUGCCGCGUGAACGAUGACGGUCCUCUGGAUUGUAAAGUUCUGUUGUUUAGGAAAAAUUGUAUAAACAGGAAAUGGUUUAUACUUGAUGGUACUAUUCAAGAAAGCCACGGCUAACUACGUG